rnacentral:rRNA from 1 species
AUACAGAGGGUGCGAGCGUUAAUCGGAAUUACUGGGCGUAAAGCGCGCGUAGGCGGCUUAUUAAGUCAGAUGUGAAAUCCCCGGGCUCAACCUGGGAACUGCAUCUGAUACUGGUAAGCUAGAGUUUUGGAGAGGGAAGUAGAAUUUCAGGUGUAGCGGUGAAAUGCAUAGAGAUCUGAAGGAAUACCAGUGGCGAAGGCGACUUCCUGGCCAAAAGCUGACGCUGAGGUGCGAAAGCGUGGGUAGCAAACGGGAUUAGAAACCCUUGUAGUCC